CACGUAGGAGACAAGCGUUAUCCGGAUUUACUGGGUGUAAAGCGCGUGCAGGCGGUUUUGUAAGUUGGAUGUGAAAGCUCCUGGCUUAACUGGGAGAGGUCGUUCAAGACUGCAAGACUAGAGGAUGUCAGAGGAGAGUGGAAUUCCGAGUGUAGCGGUAAAAUGCAUAGAUAUUCGGAAGAACACCAGUGGCGAAGGCGACUCUCUGGGGCAUAUCUGACGCUCAGACGCGAAAGCUAGGGUAGCAAACGGG
rnacentral:rRNA from 1 species